AUAUCUCGAAAAACCCCCAGAGACCCGUCGGUUGCGCGACAAACACAGUUACGGAAGAUCGAAGCGCACAUCUGAAAAGUGAGACAUGACAGGGGGUGCAGCAACUAGGGACAAGGGUGUACCGGGUAUGCGUGCGCAAAGGAGCUGUUUGUGUGAGACUGGAGAAAGACAAAUGGCUGCUUUUGCGCAGUCCGGUCCCCUUUUCGGUAUUCACUGGGGCGGUGUACUACGGCAGCGACCACUCCACCUGCUGCAUAGAUCAGUCACCAUCACCAUGGCGACAUCAUCGCAGCCAGUCUGACAGCAGUAGUUCAACCUUGUGUCUAUGCUCCAGACAAGGAAAAGUAGACCGUUGGAUCGGUGCAAUAGACCGGAGGUCUGGCUGCAUAGGUAUGUACACACAUCCUGACACAUGGACACAUUCCAAGACAUGCCUCAAGACCUGGCUAGGGGUUGAGACAGCUGGAGUGCAUAUGCUGGAGGGCAUAGGACUGGCAUGAGGGACUACUCGAGUACGAUAGGAUGAUUACUGCUAGCACGAGUACAAUAGCAUAGUGAUCGACAGAGACAGUCAAGCCACGCCGUAUUGCACUGGCCAUGCUUUUGCCAUGGUGCUGCUUUACACUUCUUUCUAUCUCCAUCUCCAUGGAAAGUUCGCCCCGCUGUUAUGGAGGGGUACAGCACGUUUCACCGUGGAAAGCAGCCCUGGAGGUGCGAUAGUUGCGGUUGAGAAGCAGUUGACAAGGUCCAAUCGAGGGUUAUGAGUCAGCGUACGAGUAUGAGUGUUGAGGACAGUACGAGCACAGCACGAGUACAGCACGAGUACAAGGGUCGUAAAACCGUAUGUACUGUUACUAGGAUAGAACUUUCCCAUCCCUAUUCGGACCCAGACCCAGACCCAGACCCAGACCCAGCUUGACAUUCUUGGAUAUGCUCACCAGGAUGAUUCAUAUGAAUCAGCUCGCACAACUGUUUGAUUCUAUCCAUCCAAGUGUUUGUUCGUUUCGUCUCGAAGACACCCGUCAGUGGAAUGUCUGGGGACGCCCUCCAGAAGACGCCCUGGCACCCCCAAGUGUUCCCUGACGACGUCAACCAUGAGUAUCUACCAUAUGAACCUGAUCGGAGAGAUCGCUGUGCUGGAUAAUGUAGAAAUGUCAGCCAAUAUUAACAAUUCACCCAUACAAAGAAUUCUCCCUCUCUUUCUCAACAUGAUGAAAGUCGCAAGGACUACUUGGAAACCUCAGCAUCUCCAAUAUUCUUCAGAUUGAAAGAAACCAAGGAGGAAUUAACUCACCUGGCGACACAAAAACACUUGCAUUAUACAAAGAGUAUCUUUUCUCGCUCCAUUACUCUCAUGUAUGCACUCCCGUUCUCUCAACAAGUUAGGUAAGUAAACUGGUUUUUUAGUCGAGUAUAUAAACGAAAACGGAUGUCAGUACAACUCACGAACGAUAUCCUCCUCCAAACUCCUUCAAUUUGGUCCAGUGAGAAAUCUGAUAGUGACAUGAGACUGAGACGAAUUCACUAUCAGAUUUCUCAUUCAAAAAAUCACUUCACUUCCCCAGAACAGCUACUCCUGAGUUCACUUACUAAGC
rnacentral:misc_RNA from 1 species